AACGAACGCUGGCGGCAGGCCUAACACAUGCAAGUCGAACGCCGUAGCAAUACGGAGUGGCAGACGGGUGAGUAACACGUGGGAACAUACCCUUCGGUUCGGAAUAACUCAGGGAAACUUGAGCUAAUACCGGAUACGUCCGCGAGGAGAAAGAUUCAUCGCCGGAGGAUUGGCCCGCGUCUGAUUAGCUUGUUGGUGAGGUAACGGCUCACCAAGGCGACGAUCAGUAGCUGGUCUGAGAGGAUGAUCAGCCACAUUGGGACUGAGACACGGCCCA
rnacentral:rRNA from 1 species